rnacentral:lncRNA from 1 species
CUGCUUGGGGGCGCCUGCCACCCCUGGCUGUUUAUCGAGGAGGCUGCAGGCCGGGAGGUCGAGAGAGACUUUGCCUCCGUGUAUUCCCGUCUGGUGCUCUGUAAGACCUUCAGGUUGGAUGAAGAUGGCAAAGUCCUGACCCCGGAGGAGCUGCUCUACCGGGCUGUGCAGUCUGUGAACGUGACCCACGAUGCAGUGCAUGCACAAAUGGAUGUGAAGCUCCGCUCACUGAUCUGCGUGGGGCUCAAGUGAGUGUGGAAAAGGGGUUGGAGGAGAGCCCUGGAGUGGGGGGACCCAGCCCAGCAUCAGGGGGGGUCCUUACAGGGAACCCUAAAGGACAAAGAACCUCAGGGGCUCAGGUCCUUCCCCAAAGAGGGUGGUCUGGGAGCUGCUGAGAGACAGGUCAGAGGCUUCCACCGUGGCUGCAGCCAGAAGGGCCUGGAGCUGCCCCUGCUCCCCACUCCUGGCCAUGUCCCCAGUGAGCAGGUGCUGCACCUGUGGCUGGAGGUGCUCUGCUCCAGCCUGCCCACCGUGGAGAAGUGGUACCAGCCCUGGUCCUUCCUGCGCAGCCCGGGCUGGGUCCAGAUCAAGUGUGAGCUCCGAGUCCUCUGCUGCUUUGCCUUCAGCCUCUCCCAGGACUGGGAGCUCCCUGCGAAGAGAGAGGCGCAGCAGCCCCUGAAGGAGGGCGUCCGGGACAUGCUGGUGAAGCACCACCUCUUCAGCUGGGAUGUGGACGGGUGACCCCCUCCUCCCCAGCCCAACCUCGGGCCUGCGUCUGAGGUGGCCCAGGACCCCAAGCUGCAGAGCCCAGGGAAGAGCAGCUCCAGAGCCCUGGCCGGGGCCGCGGGAUAUCAAUAUCAGGCUGCCCCACUCCACGUUCCCCAGCACAUCCCAGGUGGUGGGAGCAGAGGGUACCCUGCCCCACCAGGGUCCUUAGGGAUGCUCUAGGCCAAACCACAGUUUGUACCAAAAACCUUGUGAGGAGGUGGGGGAGCCAUGUCUGUGCUCAGGAAGAGGGAAGGGGAUGGG